rnacentral:rRNA from 1 species
AUUGAACGCUAGCGGGAUGCUUUACACAUGCAAGUCGAACGAGUGGCGGACGGGUGAGUAAUAUAUCGGAACGUGCCCAGUAGCGGGGGAUAACUACUCGAAAGAGGGGCUAAUACCGCAUACAUUGGGAGCGGCCAAUAUCGGAUUGGCUAGUGGGGGGGGUAAGGGCUCACCAAGGCAACGAUCCGUAGCUGGUUUGAGAGGACGACCAGCCACACUGGGACUGAGACACGGCCCAGACUCCUACGGGAGGCAGCAGUGGGGAAUUUUGGACAAUGGGGGAAACCCUGAUCCAGCCAUCCCGCGUGUAUGAGAAGGCCUUCGGGUUGUAAAGUACUUUCAGUCGGGAGGCGUUACCGACAGAAGAAGCACCGGCUAACUCCGUGCCAGCAGCCGCGGUAAUAC